rnacentral:rRNA from 1 species
UUGAACGCUGGCGGCAGGCCUAACACAUGCACGUCGAGCGGAUGAAGGGAGCUUGCUCCUGGAUUCAGCGGCGGACGGGUGAGUAAUGCCUAGGAAUCUGCCUGGUAGUGGGGGAUAACGUCCGGAAACGGGCGCUAAUACCGCAUACGUCCUGAGGGAGAAAGUGGGGGAUCUUCGGACCUCACGCUAUCAGAUGAGCCUAGGUCGGAUUAGCUAGUUGGUGGGGUAAAGGCCUACCAAGGCGACGAUCCGUAACUGGUCUGAGAGGAUGAUCAGUCACACUGGAACUGAGACACGGUCCAGACUCCUACGAGAAGCAGCAGUGGGGAAUAUUAGAGCAUGGGCGAAAGCCUGAUCCAGCCAUGCCGCGUGUGUGAAGAAGGUCUUCGGAUUGUAAAGCACUUUAAGUUGGGAGGAAGGGCAGUAAGUUAAUACCUUGCUGUUUUGACGUUACCAACAGAAUAAGCACCGGCUAACUUCGUG